AUGUAACUUCCUACACAACAUUAGUUAUACAUUAGUUAACCUUUUUUUUUCUGUCACUGUCACUCGAAAGCCACGGACAGAGGUUUGCAUACUGGACAAAUGAGGCCACAGCAUUGCUCCAAGGAUCACUGCAGCCGAUCUACAGGAUCCCGAAGACCCGAAAAAGGGAUCAUGAGGUGAGCAUGAUGUUGAUGGCAGAGGACACCCAGUGUCAUGCUCCUUUUUGUUAUAGACUCAUUAAUGCAAUUCAGGUUUCUUAUUCUUACAUGUCUAUAUUGAUACAUAAAUAAUUUUCCCUCAAAGGUUCAGUUUGAAAAGGCCGACAGGUGCUUCAUAUUGGAGAUGCCAACAUCUGUGCUUGAUGAAAUCCUCAAAGAAGUGGUGCUCCAGGAAGGAGAUAAUGUCUACCUGACAUUGGCUCUGGUGUGUACCACAUUCAGAGACAUUGUGUCCACUAAUUAUUUGAGAAGACGGGCACAUUUUCAGUGGCUUGACAGUGUUGCUACAUGGAGUAGGUUUUCUGCAACGUACAAAAAAGCUUUCUGCACCAUGUACACCAUUGACACCUGCCUUGGAUGUGGACGACUAUAUAAAAACUCAACAAGUCCGCAAAAUUUUCCGACCGUAUAGGUCGUUUGUACUGCCACGGA